rnacentral:rRNA from 1 species
UUUAUCGCUUCGGGAGGGCCUGCGUCUGAUUAGCUAGUUGGUGAGGUAAAAGCUCACCAAGGCGACGAUCAGUAGCUGGUUCGAGAGGAUGACCAGCCACACUGGGACUGAGAUACGGCCCAGACUCCUACGGGAGGCAGCAGUGAGGAAUCUUCCACAAUGGGCGCAAGCCUGAUGGAGCAAUACCGCGUGCAGGAAGACGCUUUUCGGAGUGUAAACUGCUUUUGUCGUCGAAGAUUAUGACUGUAGACGAAGAAUAAGGACCGGCUAACUACGUG